rnacentral:rRNA from 1 species
CGCUGCGGCGUGCCUAAUACAUGCAAGUCGAACGCACUCUCGUUUAGAUUGAAGGAGCUUGCUCCUGAUUGAUAACAUUUGAGUGAGUGGCGGACGGGUGAGUAACACGUGGGUAACCUGCCCUAAAGUGGGGGAUAACAUUUGGAAACAGAUGCUAAUACCGCAUAAAACCUAACACCGCAUGGUGUAGGGUUGAAAGAUGGUUUCGGCCAUCACUUUAGGAUGGACCCGCGGUGCAUUAGUUAGUUGGUGAGGUAAAGGCUCACCAAGACCGUGAUGCAUAGCCGACCUGAGAGGGUAAUCGGCCACACUGGGACUGAGACACGGCCCAGACUCCUACGGGAGGCAGCAGUAGGGAAUCUUCCACAAUGGACGAAAGUCUGAUGGAGCAACGCCGCGUGAGUGAAGAAGGUUUUCGGAUCGUAAAACUCUGUUGUUGGAGAAGAAUGUAUCUGAUAGUAACUGAUCAGGUAGUGACGGUAUCCAACCAGAAAGCCACGGCUAACUACGUG